GAUGAACGCCGGCGGUGUGCCUAAUACAUGCAAGUCGAGCGCACUGGCCCAACUGAUAUGACGUGCUUGCACUGAAUUGACGUUGGAUUCCCAGUGAGCGGCGGACGGGUGAGUAACACGUGGGCAACCUGCCCUGAAGCGGGGGAUAACAUCUGGAAACAGGUGCUAAUACCGCAUAACAACGAAAACCGCAUGGUUUUCGUUUCAAAGAUGGUUUCGGCUAUCACUUCAGGAUGGGCCCGCGGUGCAUUAGCUAGUUGGUAAGGUAACGGCUUACCAAGGCGAUGAUGCAUAGCCGAGUUGAGAGACUGAUCGGCCACAAUGGAACUGAGACACGGUCCAUACUCCUACGGGAGGCAGCAGUAGGGAAUCUUCCACAAUGGGCGCAAGCCUGAUGGAGCAACACCGCGUGAGUGAAGAAGGGUUUCGGCUCGUAAAGCUCUGUUGUUGGAGAAGAACGUGCGUGAGAGUAACUGUUCACGCAGUGACGGUAUCCAACCAGAAAGUCACGGCUAACUACGUGCCAGCAGCCGCGGUAAUACGUAGGUGGCAAGCGUUAUCCGGAUUUAUUGGGCGUAAAGCGAGCGCAGGCGGUUGUUUAGGUCUGAUGUGAAAGCCUUCGGCUUAACCGAAGAAGUGCAUCGGAAACCGGGCGACUUGAGUGCAGAAGAGGACAGUGGAACUCCAUGUGUAGCGGUGGAAUGCGUAGAUAUAUGGAAGAACACCAGUGGCGAAGGCGGCUGUCUGGUUUGCAACUGACGCUGAGGCUCGAAAGCAUGGGUAGCGAACAGG
rnacentral:rRNA from 1 species